CUAGGACAGUGGUGUAACAGUACAACAUAAGAACGAACUAUAAAAAAAUCAGUUGAAAAAGGCUAGUCAUCAGAUGGAUACAAUUAGAAAUACUACAUAGAGUGGACGUGGCCGGGUACUUGUAUAUCCCAACAACAAAGGUACAUUUGAGUAUGAUUGCCAAUGAGACAACUCAAUCAAAGUUCAAAUCAAGUGGAUGUUAUCAAUUAUAGGCAACUGUACAGUCUUCAACAAUGAGUAAAACCCAUAUAUAGUCUGCUGUUAAAGGCCCAGACAUAAAUUAUAUGAACAAUUCAAAUGAGAAACUGACGGCCUAAUUUAUUACAAAACAAAAAAUAUCGAAAAUUAAAAAUUACAUGCAUGAACCAACAACAAACCACUGAACUAAAAGCUUAAGGCAUAACACUGUACAAGGGUUAAAUAAUACUAUUAAUUUGAAAGCAUGCCUUUUAUGGCUUUAUUUGUAAAUACCCA
rnacentral:lncRNA from 1 species